rnacentral:rRNA from 1 species
UGCUAGUAAUCGCGAAUCAGCAUGUCGCGGUGAAUACGUUCCCGGGCCUUGUACACACCGCCCGUCACACCAUGAGAGUUGGUAACACCCGAAGUCCGUGAGGUAACCGUAAGGAGCCAGCGGCCGAAGGUGGGAUUGAUGAUUGGGGUGAAGUCGUAACAAGGUAGCCGUAGGAGAACCUGCGGCUGGAUCACCUCCUUUCUAGGGAG